rnacentral:rRNA from 1 species
UCCUACGGGGCGCAGCAGUGGGGAAUAUUGCACAAUGGGGGAAACCCUGAUGCAGCAACGCCGCGUGAGUGAAAAAGUAUUUCGGUAUGUAAAGCUCUAUCAGCAGGGAAGAAGAUGACGGUACCUGAUUAAGAAGCCCCGGCUAACUACGUGCCAGCAGCCGCGGUAAUACGUAGGGGGCAAGCGUUAUCCGGAUUUACUGGGUGUAAAGGGAGCGCAGACGGCAGUGCAAGUCUGGAGUGAAAGCCCGGGGCCCAACCCCGGAACUGCUUUGGAAACUGUACAGCUAGAGUGCAGGAGGGGUG